UACGUAGGUGGCAAGCGUUGUCCGGAUUUACUGGGCGUAAAGGAUGCGUAGGCGGACAUUUAAGUCAGAUGUGAAAUACCCGAGCUUAACUUGGGUGCUGCAUUUGAAACUGGGUGUCUAGAGUGCAGGAGAGGUAAGCGGAAUUCCCGGUGUAGUGGUGAAAUGCGUAGAUAUCGGGAGGAACACCAGUGGCGAAGGCGGCUUUCUGGUCCUUAACUGACGCUGAGGCGCGAAAGCAUGGGGAGCGAACGGG
rnacentral:rRNA from 1 species